rnacentral:sRNA from 1 species
AGAGCGGUAUCGUAAAGCCUGGUGACCUCGGUCACUCGUAGAGUGUCCUAGCCGUUUCUGACAUCGCACCCUUGUGGUGAAUGGAACGGGACAAACUGAAAUCAGGGCCCAGGGUGAGCCGCUCG